UGUGAAUUUAAUGGAGUUUGCAAAUAAGGAUAUAUUUGAAAGAAUCUAUAUAUUUAGAGGGGUAAUUAUGAUAUUACUGAUUUUGUAAGGGUAUUACGAUAUUAUCAAUCUUUUGAAGGGUACAAGUGAAAUUAACCCUAUUUAUAAAUAUAAUUUCCAGUUGCAUCUAAUAAGAUAAAUUAUUUAUAAUUACAGUGUUUUUUACUGCAUCAAACUAAAUAAGAUACAUAUAGUUAUAACUAGUAUACUUUUAGGGCAUGUUUGGUUCACCUAUUUUGGACUAUGGAAUCAGAAUGGAAUUUGUUUAUUACGAUAGUUGCCGUUUGUUUUAUAGAAAUUGGAUUCCGAUUUCCAUUCUACUCCGGAAUGGGAAUAAUCAAAUCCAUUUAUCAUUCAAUCCGGCUUUGAAUCCCAGAUUGGCUCAUUCCAAAGUAAACUAUUCAAAAUCCUCUUUUAUCAACAGCUAUCUCCUCUCCUUUCAUCACUUUUCUCUUUCUUAAUCAAAACUUUCUCUCAAAAAUUUUAAAUUUUCAUUUCGAUUUCCAUUCCAAUAAUGAACCAAACAUUUUUGGAUGAUUCGUCAUUCUAUUUUUCAUUCCUAAGCAAUCCAAUUCCAUUUUCUAUUCCUAUUCCAAUCAUGAACCACACAUACCCUUAGUUGCAUGAUUUUUUUUUUUACAC
rnacentral:lncRNA from 1 species